CCGUACUUUGCCUGGUACGCUUCGUGCCGCCGCCGCAACCUCCUCCUCCCCGUCACAAAUUGCAGAUCAUUUAACAUAAAUGGCUGACUCAGAGGACAUUCAGCCCCUAGUCUGUGACAAUGGAACUGGAAUGGUCAAGUUUGGCUUUGCUGGAGAUGAUGCUCCCCGUGUUGUUUUCCGAAUCAUGUUUGAAACUUUCAGUGUUCUUGCUAUGUAUGUUGCUAUUCAAGCUGACCUUUCCCUAUACGCUAGUGG